rnacentral:rRNA from 1 species
UCGAGCGCCCCGCAAGGGGAGCGGCAGACGGGUGAGUAACGCGUGGGAAUCUACCCUUUUCUACGGAAUAACGCAGGGAAACUUGUGCUAAUACCGUAUGAGCCCUUCGGGGGAAAGAUUUAUCGGGAAAGGAUGAGCCCGCGUUGGAUUAGCUAGUUGGUGGGGUAAAGGCCUACCAAGGCGACGAUCCAUAGCUGGUCUGAGAGGAUGAUCAGCCACAUUGGGACUGAGACACGGCCCAAACUCCUACGGGAGGCAGCAGUGGGGAAUAUUGGACAAUGGGCGCAAGCCUGAUCCAGCCAUGCCGCGUGAGUGAUGAAGGCCCUAGGGUUGUAAAGCUCUUUCACCGGUGAAGAUAAUGACGGUAACCGGAGAAGAAGCCCCGGCUAACUUCGUGCCA